rnacentral:lncRNA from 1 species
GGAAUAACCCCUUAACCCCCAUUUUAUCCCUAAACACCCUAAAAAAUGGGUGGGGUUGGCUAACCCCAUCUCAAAUAAAUUAUCCCAGGCUAGCUAACCCCACCUAAUCUCAUCAAACUCCAACCAAAUACUAUUUUCUAUUCAGAAUAAUCCACUAUUUUUCUUAUCACACCUACUCCAACCAAUCAUUAUCCUUCUUUAUCAAUCAUUAUCUUCUUAUCCCACCUACUCCAACCAAACACUAUUUUUCAUUAUUCUAGACUAACUCCAACCUCCAACCAAACACAAAAAAAUUUUAACCCUGAACUUAACUCUAUUUCUGAAAUAGCUAUUUUUUUCUUAAUUCCGAACCAAACGGAGGCUUAGAGAGAUGUAUAUAUUAAAAAUUUUCGUUAUUAAUUAUUGACUCAACC